rnacentral:rRNA from 1 species
AGAGUUUGAUCCUGGCUCAGAUUGAACGCUGGCGGCAUGCCUUACACAUGCAAGUCGAACGGUAACAGGUUAAGCUGACGAGUGGCGAACGGGUGAGUAAUGUAUCGGAACGUGCCCAGUCGUGGGGGAUAACUACUCGAAAGAGUGGCUAAUACCGCAUGAGACCUGAGGGUGAAAGCGGGGGAUCGCAAGACCUCGCGCGAUUGGAGCGGCCGAUAUCAGAUUAGCUAGUUGGCGGGGUAAAAGCCCACCAAGGCGACGAUCUGUAGCUGGUCUGAGAGGACGACCAGCCACACUGGGACUGAGACACGGCCCAGACUCCUACGGGAGGCAGCAGUGGGGAAUUUUGGACAAUGGACGAAAGUCUGAUCCCGCCAUGCCGCGUGCGGGAAGAAGGCCUUCGGGUUGUAAACCGCUUUUGUCAGGGAAGAAACGACGUCCUCUAAUACAGGGUGUUAAUGACGGUACCUGAAGAAUAAGCACCGGCUAACUACGUGCCAGCAGCCGCGGUAAUACGUAGGGUGCAAGCGUUAAUCGGAAUUACUGGGCGUAAAGCGUGCGCAGGCGGUUAUGCAAGACAGAUGUGAAAUCCCCGGGCUCAACCUGGGAACUGCAUUUGUGACUGCAUGGCUAGAGUACGGUAGAGGGGGAUGGAAUUCCGCGUGUAGCAGUGAAAUGCGUAGAUAUGCGGAGGAACACCGAUGGCGAAGGCAAUCCCCUGGACCUGUACUGACGCUCAUGCACGAAAGCGUGGGGAGCAAACAGGAUUAGAUACCCUGGUAGUCCACGCCCUAAACGAUGUCAACUGGUUGUUGGGAGGGUUUCUUCUCAGUAACGUAGCUAACGCGUGAAGUUGACCGCCUGGGGAGUACGGCCGCAAGGUUGAAACUCGAAGGAAUUGACGGGGACCCGCACAAGCGGUGGAUGAUGUGGUUUAAUUCGAUGCAACGCGAAAAACCUUACCUACCCUUGACAUGUCUGGAAUCCUGAAGAGAUUUGGGAGUGCUCGAAAGAGAGCCAGAACACAGGUGCUGCAUGGCCGUCGUCAGCUCGUGUCGUGAGAUGUUGGGUUAAGUCCCGCAACGAGCGCAACCCUUGUCAUUAGUUGCUACGAAAGGGCACUCUAAUGAGACUGCCGGUGACAAACCGGAGGAAGGUGGGGAUGACGUCAGGUCAUCAUGGCCCUUAUGGGUAGGGCUACACACGUCAUACAAUGGCCGGUACAGAGGGCUGCCAACCCGCGAGGGGGAGCCAAUCCCAGAAAACCGGUCGUAGUCCGGAUCGUAGUCUGCAACUCGACUGCGUGAAGUCGGAAUCGCUAGUAAUCGCGGAUCAGCUUGCCGCGGUGAAUACGUUCCCGGGUCUUGUACACACCGCCCGUCACACCAUGGGGGCGGGUUCUGCCAGAAGUAGUUAGCCUAACCGCAAGGGGGGCGAUUACCACGGCAGGGUUCGUGACUGGGGUGAAGUCGUAACAAGGUA